rnacentral:misc_RNA from 1 species
GAUGAAGAACGCAGCGAAAUGCGAUAAGUAAUGUGAAUUGCAGAAUUCAGUGAAUCAUCGAAUCUUUGAACGCACAUUGCGCCCGCCAGUAUUCUGGCGGGCAUGCCUGUUCGAGCGUCAUUACAACCCUCAGGCCCCCGGGCCUGGCCUUGGGGAUCGGCGGAGCCCCCCGUGGGCACACGCCGUCCCCCAAAUGCAGUGGCGGUCCCGCCGCAGCUUCCAUCGCGUAGUAGCUAACACCUCGCGACUGGAGAGCGGCGCGGCCACGCCGUAAAACACCCAACUCUUCUGAAGUUGACCUCGAAUCAGGUAGGAAUACCCGCUGAACUUAAGCAUAUCAAUAAGCGGAGGA